rnacentral:rRNA from 1 species
UACGAAGGGGGCUAGCGUUGCUCGGAAUCACUGGGCGUAAAGGGUGCGUAGGCGGGUCUUUAAGUCAGGGGUGAAAUCCUGGAGCUCAACUCCAGAACUGCCUUCGAUACUGGGAAACUUGAGUCCGGGAGAGGUGAGUGGAACUGCGAGUGUAGAGGUGAAAUUCGUAGAUAUUCGCAAGAACACCAGUGGCGAAGGCGGCUCACUGGCCCGGUACUGACGCUGAGGUGCGAAAGCGUGGGGAGCAAACAGG